ACUGGCGGUGCAAGUCCCCAUGAGAGGGGCAUGUUUCCCAGAGCGGGUGCUAGGCCCGUACCACCGCCGGCCUGCGCGCGGAGUUGCCGUUCUCCCGGGAGUCGGGUUGCUUGGGAGUGCAGCCCUAAGUGGGUGGUAAACUCCACCUAAAGCUAAAUAAGACCGAGAGACCGAUAGCGAACAAGUACCGUGAGGGAAAGUUGAAAAGCACUUUGAAGAGAGAGUUCAAGAGUACGUGAAACCGUUCAGAGGUAAACGGGUGGGACCUCGAAGUCCAAAGGCGGUGGUGGAUUCAGUCAGGAGGCUUGACCGGCCCUGCCUGCACCCGCGGUCACCCCACGACGGGGCCCCGGCGUGCGGGAUUAGGGUCGCGUCCUGGCGCACUUCCACGCCCCGCCCUAUAGGGCGUCGCGACCGGUUGGAAGGCUGUCGUAAGGGCGGAUGUGAAAGGUGGCUGCAUUUCUUUCGGGAUCUGCAGUGUUAUAGGCCAUCCGAACCCCGACGGGUCGUCCGACCGGGGUCGAGCUUAGCCUCUGUUACGUUCCCUUCCUCGACGGAAGCGGCCAUUCUUUCGUGCUGCUCGCGGGACGGUGUGCCACCAGCAAGGUGAGCACCUCUCGCGGUCGGUUUCGUUUGGGUUGGUCAGCGUGGGAACUGGAGGUCGCGGCGAGUAGGUCGGUUGCCCACCCGACCCGUCUUGAAACACGGACCAAGGAGUCUAACGCGUAUGCGAGUUCCCGGGACUUGAUCAGGCCCGAGGGCGCAAUGAAAGUAAAGGGCGGCGGUGGUCGUCCGAGUUGGGAUCCAAGCCGUCUUACGGUUUGGCGCACCAACGGCCCGUCCGACGUCGGUUUCGGCGGGGCGGAGCUAGAGCAUACGCUCUGGGACCCGAAAGAUGGUGAACUAUGCCUGGGCAGGACGAAGCCAGAGGAAACUCUGGUGGAGGUCCGUAACGAUUCUGACGUGCAAAUCGAUCGUCAGACCUUGGUAUAGGGGCGAAAGACUAAUCGAACCAUCUAGUAGCUGGUUCCCUCCGAAGUUUCCCUCAGGAUAGCUGGUGUUCGGAGGACCGGUCUCAUCCGGUAAAGCGAAUGAUUAGAGGCCUUGGGGCCGAAACGACCUCAACCUAUUCUCAAACUUUAAAUGGGUGAGAAGUCUGGCUUGCUUGACUGAAGUCCGGACGCCUAUGGACGUGAGCACCAAGUGGGCCACUUUUGGUAAGCAGAACUGGCGAUGCGGGAUGAACCGAACGUCGGGUUAAGGCGCCCGAUGCAAGACGCUUAUCAGACCCCAUGAAAGGUGUUGGUUGCUAUAGACAGCAGGACGGUGGCCAUGGAAGUCGGAAUCCGCUAAGGAGUGUGUAACAACUCACCUGCCGAAGCAACUAGCCCUGAAAAUGGAUGGCGCUCCAGCGUUGAGCCUAUACCCGACUCCUGCAACGGAAAUUUUAUGUCGCAGGAAGUAGGAGGGCGUGGGGAUGGCGUGGAACGGUUGGGCGCGAGCCCGUCUGGAGCCUUCCCCAGUGCAGAUCUUGGUGGUAGUAGCAAAUACUCGAGUGAGAACCUUGAGGACUGGAGUGGAGAAGGGUUCCAUGUGAACAGCAGUUGAACAUGGGUCAGUCGAUCCUAAGAGAAAGGAUAAUUCCUUUAAGAAAGGGGACCUUCCAAGUGACUGGGGUCCCCUGUUGACCGAAAGGGAAUUGGGUUAAGAUUCCCAAACCUGGACGCGGAGUUGUCCUCGCAAGGGGACGGAGCGGUAACGCAAACGAACUCGGAGACGUCGUCGAGAGCCCCGGGAAGAGUUUUCUUUUCUCGUUAAGGGCCUUGCUCCCUGGAAUCGGUUCGCCCGGAGAUAGGGAUGCCUGGCCCGAAGAGCACCGCGUUUCACGUGGUGUCCGGUGCGCUUUCGACGGCCCUUGAAAAUCCGAGGGAGUGAACUUACUCUCGAGCCAGAUCGUACCCAUAUCCGCAGCAGUCUCCAAGGUGAACAGCCUCUAGUCGAUAGAACA
rnacentral:rRNA from 1 species